rnacentral:rRNA from 1 species
AUUCCAGCUCCAAUAGCGUAUAUUUAAGUUGUUGCAGUUAAAAAGCUCGUAGUUGGAUUUCGGGUGAAUGCAACCGGUCCGUCGUUACGAUGUGUACUGGUUGCGUCCAUCUUGUUGUCGGGGACGCGCUCCUGGCCUUAACUGGCUGGGACGCGGAGUCGGCGAAGUUACUUUGAAAAAAUUAGAGUGUUCAAAGCAGGCCUACGCUCUGAAUACAUUAGCAUGGAAUAACGCGAUAGGACUCUGGUCUUAUUGUGUUGGUCUUCGAGACCGGAGUAAUGAUUAAGAGGGACAGUUGGGGGCAUUCGUAUUUCAUUGUCAGAGGUGAAAUUCUUGGAUUUACGAAAGACGAACUUCUGCGGAAGCAUUUGCCAAGGAUGUUUUCAUUG